GAUGAACGCUGGCGGCGUGCUUAACACAUGCAAGUCGAACGAGAAGUGGAGACGGAAACCUUCGGGCGGAAGACUUUAUUUCGAGUGGCGGACGGGUGAGUAACGCGUGGGUAACCUGCCUCAUACAGGGGGAUAACAGUUGGAAACGACUGUUAAUACCGCAUAAGACCACAGCACCGCAUGGUGCGGGGGUAAAAACUCCGGUGGUAUGAGAUGGACCCGCGUUCGAUUAGCCAGUUGGCGGGGUAACGGCCCACCAAAGCGACGAUCGAUAGCCGAUCUGAGAGGAUGACCGGCCACAUUGGGACUGAGACACGGCCCAAACUCCUACGGGAGGCAGCAGUGGGGAAUAUUGCACAAUGGGGGAAACCCUGAUGCAGCGACGCCGCGUGAGUGAAGAAGUAUUUCGGUAUGUAAAGCUCUAUCAGCAGGGAAGAAAAUGACGGUACCUGAGGAAGAAGCCCCGGCUAACUACGUG
rnacentral:rRNA from 1 species